CUACGGGCGGCAGCAGUGAGGAAUAUUGCGCAAUGGACGAAAGUCUGACGCAGCCAUGCCGCGUGCAGGAUGACGGCCCUAUGGGUUGUAAACUGCUUUUGUAUGGGAAUAAACCCUUCUACGUGUAGAAGGCUGAAGGUACCAUAAGAAUAAGCACCGGCUAACUCCGUGCCAGCAGCCGCGGUAAUACGGAGGGUGCAAGCGUUAUCCGGAUUUAUUGGGUUUAAAGGGUCCGUAGGCGGGCCGAUAAGUCAGUGGUGAAAGCCCAUAGCUCAACUAUGGAACUGCCAUUGAUACUGUCGGUCUUGAGUAUAUGUGAUGUUGGCGGAAUGUGUAGUGUAGCGGUGAAAUGCUUAGAUAUUACACAGAACACCGAUUGCGAAGGCAGCUGACAAAUAUAUAACUGACGCUGAGGGACGAAAGUGUGGGGAUCAAACAGGAUUAGAUACCCUUGUAGUC
rnacentral:rRNA from 1 species